rnacentral:rRNA from 1 species
AUUGAACGCUGGCGGCAUGCUUUACACAUGCAAGUCGGACGAGUGGCGAACGGGUGAGUAACGCAUCGGAACGUACCGAGUAAUGGGGGCAAAAUGUCCGAAAGGACAGCUAAUACCGCAUAUUAUUCGAGCGGCCGACGUCGUAUUAGCUGGUUGGCGGGGUAAAGGCCCACCAAGGCGUCGCUCAGUAGCGGGUCUGAGAGGGUGAUCGGCCACACUGGGACUGAGACACGGCCCAGACUCCUACGGGAGGCAGCAGUUGGGAAUUUUGGGCAAUGGGCGCAAGCCUGAUCGAGCCAUGCCGCGUGUCUGAAGAAGGCCUUCGGGUUGUAAAGGACUUUUGUCAGGGAAGCGGUACCUGAACAGUAAGCACCGGCUAACUUCGUGCCAGCAGCCGCGGUAAUUC